rnacentral:rRNA from 1 species
AUUGAACGUUGGCGGCGUGGAUUAGGCAUGCAAGUCGAGCGAGAACCCGCAAGGGGGACAGCGGCAAACGGGGUAGUAAUGUGUCGGAACGUGCCCUCUGGACGGGGAUAGCGGCGGGAAACUGCCGGUAAUACCCGAUGAACUCGAGAGAGCAAAGGUGUGAUUCCGCCGGAGGAGCGGCCGACAUGGUAUUAGCUAGUUGGCGGGGUAACGGCCCACCAAGGCUGUGAUGCCUAGGGGAUGUGAGAGCAUGAUCCCCACCAUUGGGACUGAGACACUGCCCAGACACCUACGGGUGGCUGCAGUCGAGAAUCUUCGUCAAUGGGCGAAAGCCUGAACGAGCGACGCCGCGUGCGGGAUGAAGGCCCUUGGGUUGUAAACCGCUGUCGAGGGGGAUGAAGGCAUUCAGGUACUCCUGAAUGUUUGACAGAGCCCUGGAGGAAGCACGGGCUAAGUUCGUGCCAGCCGCCGCAGUAAGAC